rnacentral:tRNA from 1 species
CAGGGAGACAACACAAUGAUUUUGAUGCCUGAGUACUUUUAUUCUUAGGCCGAAAUCCUGUCACCUUAGGUCGAUCGGUACCUCAGCUUUGAAGUCAAGGAUCAACAGCAAUGUUGAUUGCUUGAUGGAGAUUUUCAGUUCCUAAACUUUGUCUAGGUCACACCCCAAAAGGGAUGAGACUCCUGGGCCAUUAGCUCAGGUGGUUAGAGCGCACCCCUGAUAAGGGUGAGGUCCCUGGUUCAAGUCCAGGAUGGCCCAUUCGGUGUUGGGGGUUUAGCUCAGUUGGUAGAGCGCCUGCUUUGCAAGCAGGAUGUCAGGAGUUCGAGUCUCCUAACCUCCACUGACCGAACUUGAUUCCCAUCUCCAAUUUUUUGGAGUUGAGCUCGAUUGGAGUGUGAUUUGGAUGUGUCCGCUGGAUGACCCCAGCUUCCUGUCAUUCCAAGUUUUAGGUUGAUGCCUUGAAUUUGGUUGAUAAGAUGCUGGGCUCGGAUCAAAUGAUCAAGCAAUUGAUGAUUUGAUUUGAAGUUCUAGCAGAACCUUGACAACUGCAUAGGUGAGUCUGGAAAAAACAAAGCAUCUUACAGAUGCAUUGUUUUGAAUCUGAUCUUCUGAAAGGGAGAUUGGAUCUAGAACAAUGAAAAUUCUUUUGAGCAAGAGCCGAGACUCUUGAAUGUUCUUUGAUUGGUGUCGAGCCAAUCAGAGUUUGAUCUUGUUUUUAGCAAUAAAAACUUGAGAAUCUGCUUUCAACGGCGGUAAGCGUUCAAGAGGUUAAUU